GGCAGGUUGAAGUUUCCAGGGAUCAGAAAUGUCCCCUAGGAGAGAGGCAGGUUGAGGUUUCCAGGGUUAGAAAUGUCCCCUAGGAGAGAGGCAGGUUGAGGUUUCCAGGGAUCAGAAAUGUCCCCUAGGAGAGAGGCAGGUUGAGGUUUCCAGGGUUAGAAAUGUCCCCUAGGAGAGAGGCAGGUUGAGGUUUCCAGGGUUAGAAAUGUCCCCUAGGAGAGAGGCAGGUUGAGGUUUCCAGGGUUAGAAAUGUCCCUUAGGAGAGAGGCAGGUUGAGGUUUCCAGGGAUCAGAAAUGUCCCCUAGGAGAGAGGCAGGUUGAGGUUUCCAGGGUUAGAAAUGUCCCCUAGGAGAGUAGAGCAGAAGUUGUGUUGAGGCAGUGAAGAAAGUAGAGGAAGAUGGGUUAGGGGAGAAGAAGGGUGAGAGUAGUAGAGAUAACCCAGUAGCGAGGAAUAGACGGACUACAACAUUGUACUGGAACCCCCUCCCCCCCUCCUCCUUCCCUCCUGAGACCUGCUGGGUGAGGGUUUCCGCUCUUCACCCCCGGUGUCCGUUCAGCCGAUAUUUCACCAGCGCCGUUAAACCGGUUCGGAGAGGAGACGGAAUGAGAGGCUGUUCGGGAGCUGCUUUACUCACUUCUCUGUUGGUAAGCAGAACAACACGUGGUGUUUCAAUGUGUUUUAUUAUAAACUCCUCUAACGUUGCCGGUAUACCGGUUCGGUUCUGACUUGUGAUGGAUGUUCUUGUGGAGUUACUGUAUCAAGCGACGUUUCUGACGGAUAAAUGUCUCUCUGAUGCGUUUCAAAACGGAACCGCAGUCCUGGAGACCUACUGGGGUUGUGCAUGUUUUGGUUCCAGCCCAGCAUUAAUAACAAGCAGGAUUACUCAUCAACGGUCUAUGGUUUCUGCACCUUCAAUAAAACGUGCUCCCAGUUGUUCUCCAGAGGAGAGGAUUUGGACAAUCUGCAGAAACCGAAACUAGUUUACUACUUUGGUUCUGACCUCUCUUUUGUUGAUGUAGCUGUAAAACAAAAUGAGUUCAACUAGUUAUAACAACUGGAAGCAGCUAGUUAGCAGCUAGUUAUCAGCAGCUAGUUAUCAGCUAGUUAUCAGCUAGUUAUAACAACUGGAAGCAGCUAGUUAUCAGCUAGUUAUCAGCAACUGAAAGUAGCUAGUUAUCAGCUAGUUAUCAGUGUUGGGUCGCGUCAAUUCGAAUCUGGUAUCAGAACAGAAUUUUCACUAGGCUACUGAAUAUAUUUUCAGCUGUUUAUUAAUAGAAUUAGUCAAGCAGAAUAAAUGGUAAAUGCAAUCUUCGUAUAUACGGGUUCACUGUCACACCUCGCAGGGCAAAACAGAGAACUGAGUGACACAUCCUUUGCUUUUCAUUAAAUACUCUGACAGAGAUAGUUCCCGCUCACUGCUGGCCUGUCAGAGGGAGGAUGAGCGCGGUUUAAACUUACUCAUCCUAUCGUUGGCGUGCAGGCUGGUCCCAGCCUCUAGACGCAUCACUGUUGCCAAGCAUAGUUGUCUUCUAGCUUAUCUUCGUGUGUGUACCCGAGAGUCAGACACCCAAGGACAGUGUCUGUUUUUAUGCUACAGUUAGGACAGUUUCUGCUUUUGCGCUACAGCUAUCUUCCAUUCUACCAGCCCCUCCCGUACACCUGUUCUUGAGCGGCCCCACAACCAGGCAUUGUGUGUGUGUGUGUCACGAGUCUACUCAGCCUACAUUCCUACUAGCCAGCAACCCUCCAGUUAGUCAUGUCUAUUAUAUGUCGCUCAAUCUAUGUUAAUACAAUAUAAACCUCUUAGUGCAUUACAGUCCGUUCAUACUUAGGCCUACAUCUACUGUAAAUGGCAUCACAUCUAAUAAGUGAAAUAAAACCCAACAUCAGCUAGUUAUCAGCAACUGAAAGUAGCUAGUUAUCAGCUAGUUAUCAGCAACUGAAAGUAGCUAGUUAUCAGCUAGUUAUCAGCUAGUUAUCAGCUAGUUAUCAGCAACUGAAAGUAGCUAGUUAUCAGCUAGUUAUCAGCAACUGAAAGUAGCUAGUUAUCAGCUAGUUAUCAGCAACUGAAAGUAGCUAGUUAUCAGCUAGUUAUCAACAACUGAAAGUAGCUAGUUAUCAGCUAGUUAUCAGCUAGUUAUCAGCAGCUAGUUAUCAGCUAGUUAUCAGCAGCUAGUUAUCAGCAGCUAGUUAUCAGCUAGUUAUCAGCAGCUAGUUAUCAGCAACUGAAAGUAGCUAGUUAUGAGCUAGUUAUGAGCUAGUUAUCAGCUAGUUAUCAGCUAGUUAUCAACAACUGAAAGUAGCUAGUUAUCAGCUAGUUAUCAGCUAGUUAUCAGCAGCUAGUUAUCAGCUAGUUAUCAGCAGCUAGUUAUCAGCAGCUAGUUAUCAGCUAGUUAUAAGCAACUGAAAGUAGCUAGUUAUCAGCUAGUUAUCAGCAGCUAGUUAUCAGCAGCUAGUUAUCAGCUAGUUGUCAGCAACUGAAAGCAGCUAGUUAUCAGCUAGUUAUCAGCAACUGGAAGCAGCUAGUUAUCAGCAACUGGAAGCAGCUAGUUAUCAGCAGCUAGUUAUCAGCUAGUUAUCAGCAGCUAGUUAUCAGCAACUGAAAGUAGAUAGUUAUCAGCUAGUUAUCAGCAGCUAGUUAUCAGCAGCUAGUUAUAACAACUGAAAGCAGCUAGUUAUCAGCUAGUUAUCAGCAACUGAAAGCAGCUAGUUAUAACAACUGAAAGCAGCUAGUUAUCAGCAGCUAGUUAUCAGCUAGUUAUCAGCAGCUAGUUAUCAGCUAGUUAUCAGCAGCUAGUUAUCAGCAGCUAGUUAUCAGCAGCUAGUUAUCAGCAGCUAGUUAUCAGCUAGUUAUCAGCUAGAUAUCAGCAGCUAGUUAUCAUCAGCUAGUUAUCAUCAGCUAGUUAUCAGCAGCUAGUUAUCAGCUAGUUAGCAGCUAGUUAGCAGCUAGUUAGCAGCUAGUUAUCAUCAGCUAGUUAUCAGCUAGUUAUCAGCUAGUGUUAUUGUAAAGCAAAGCUGCAAUCGGCAGUUUCAGGUAAAAAGAUGGAUAAAUAUAACCAUUCAGCAGAGUUAUGGGAUGCCAGGACUGACCAUCCAUGAUAUCAAAAUGAUUGUUUUAACCAUGUUAUGAAGCUAUACGUUUUUUUUGGUAUUUUACAUUUAUUAUAAACUUAAACGGACGACAGGGAAAAGCUCAAACCAAGUCUAUUCACCCUCUGGUUCAUUCAGCUGCAAAGACAAAGCAUGAUUACAUAACAUGCCAUUUAUAACCUCCUACUAGGAGGGUCAACUCCCAACACAGCCACUGCAUCUCUGUUGCUAGGAGGAACUGAAUGGUUCCUCUCACUGGUGUCGUGAGCCGCAGGUAGACUAGUGGUUAGAGUGUAGAGGAGGCAGGUAGUCUAGUGGUUAGAGUGGAGGGGCGGCAGGUAGACUAGUGGUUAGAGUGUAGAGGAGGCAGGUAGACUAGUAGUUAGAGUGGAGGGGCGGCAGGUAGACUAGUAGUUAGAGUGUAGAGGCGGCAGGUAGUCUAGUGGUUAGAGUGUAGGGGCCGCAGGUAGCCUAGUGGUUAGGGUGUAGGGGCGGCAGGUAGCCUAGUGGUUAGAGUGGAGGAGAGGCAGGUAGCCUAGUGGUUAGAGUGGAGGGGCCGCAGGUAGCCUAGUGGUUAGAGUGGAGGGGCCGCAGGUAGGCUAUUGGUUAGAGCGGAGGGGCUGCAGGUAGCCUAGUGGUUAGAGUGUAGAGGAGGCAGGUAGACUAGUGGUUAGAGUGGAGGGGCCGCAGGUAGUCUAGUGGUUAGAGUGGAGGGGCCGCAGGUAGUCUAGUGGUUAGAGUGGAGGGGCCGCAGGUAGACUAGUGGUUAGAGUGUAGAGGAGGCAGGUAGACUAGUGGUUAGAGUGGAGGGGAGGCAGGUAGACUAGUGGUUAGAGUGUAGGGGCCGCAGGUAGCCUAGUGGUUAGAGUGUAGGGGCCGCAGGUAGACUAGUGGUUAGAGUGGAGGGGAGGCAGGUAGACUAGUGGUUAGAGUGGAGGGGAGGCAGGUAGCCUAGUGGUUAGAGUGGAGGGGCGGCAGGUAGACUAGUGGUUAGAGUGGAGGGGUGGCAGGUAGACUAGUGGUUAGAGUGGAGGGGAGGCAGGUAGCCUAGUGGUUAGAGUGGAGGGGCGGCAGGUAGACUAGUGGUUAGAGUGGAGGGGUGGCAGGUAGCCUAGUGGUUAGAGUGUAGAGGCGGCAGGUAGACUAGUGGUUAGAGUGUAGGGGCGGCAGGUAGUCUAGUGGUUAGAGUGUAGAGGAGGCAGGUAGCCUAGUGGUUAGAGUGUAGGGGAGGCAGGUAGACUAGUGGUUAGAGUGUAGAGGCGGCAGGUAGCCUAGUGGUUAGAGUGUAGGGGAGGCAGGUAGCCUAGUGGUUAGAGUGUAAGGGGGGGCAGGUAGCCUAGUGGUUAGAGUGUAGAGGCGGCAGGUAGCCUAGUUGUUAGAGUGUAGAGGAGGCAGGUAGCCGACUGGUUAUAGUGUAGGGGAGGCAGUUGGCCUAGUGGUUAGAUUGGAGGGGAGGCAGGUAGCCUAGUAGUUAGAGUGUAGGGGCCGCAGGUAGACUAGUGGUUAGAGUGGAGGGGGGGCAGGUAGCUUAGUGGUUAGAGUGUAGAGGAGGCAGGUAGCAUAGUGGUUAAAGAGUUGGACUAGUAACUGAAAGGUUCAAAGAUUGAAUCCCCGAGCUGACAAGGUAAAAAUCUGUCGUUCUGCCCCUGAACAAGGCAG
rnacentral:lncRNA from 1 species